GAUGAACGCUGGCGGCGUGCUUAACACAUGCAAGUCGAACGGAAAGGCCCAAGCUUGCUUGGGUACUCGAGUGGCGAACGGGUGAGUAACACGUGGGUGAUCUGCCCUGCACUUCGGGAUAAGCCUGGGAAACUGGGUCUAAUACCGGAUAGGACCACAUUUUGGAUGGUGUGGUGGAAAGUUUUUCGGUGUGGGAUGAGCUCGCGGCCUAUCAGCUUGUUGGUGGGGUAAUGGCCUACCAAGGCGUCGACGGGUAGUGGCCUGAGAGGGUGUACGGCCACAUUGGGACUGAGAUACGGCCCAGACUCCUACGGGAGGCAGCAGUGGGGAAUAUUGCACAAUGGGCGCAAGCCUGAUGCAGCGACGCCGCGUGGGGGAUGACGGCCUUCGGGUUGUAAACUCCUUUCGCUAGGGACGAAGCGUUAUGUGACGGUACCUGGAGAAGAAGCACCGGCUAACUACGUG
rnacentral:rRNA from 1 species